rnacentral:rRNA from 1 species
AGUGAACGCUGGCGGUAGGCCUAACACAUGCAAGUCGAACGGCAGCACAGUAAGAGCUUGCUCUUACGGGUGGCGAGUGGCGGACGGGUGAGGAAUACAUCGGAAUCUACUUUUUCGUGGGGGAUAACGUAGGGAAACUUACGCUAAUACCGCAUACGACCUACGGGUGAAAGCAGGGGAUCUUCGGACCUUGCGUGAUUGAAUGAGCCGAUGUCGGAUUAGCUAGUUGGCGGGGUAAAGGCCCACCAAGGCGACGAUCCGUAGCUGGUCUGAGAGGAUGAUCAGCCACACUGGAACUGAGACACGGUCCAGACUCCUACGGGAGGCAGCAGUGGGGAAUAUUGGACAAUGGGCGCAAGCCUGAUCCAGCCAUACCGCGUGGGUGAAGAAGGCCUUCGGGUUGUAAAGCCCUUUUGUUGGGAAAGAAAAGCAGCAGGUUAAUACCCCGCUGUUCUGACGGUACCCAAAGAAUAAACACCGGCUAACUUCGUG